GUGGGGAAUCUUGCGCAAUGGCCGAAAGGCUGACGCAGCGACGCCGCGUGUGGGAGGACGCCCUUCGGGGUGUAAACCACUGUUGCCCGGGACGAACAUUCUCUUUCGAGGGAACUGACGGUACCGGGUGAGGAAGCACCGGCUAACUCCGUGCCAGCAGCCGCGGUAAUACGGAGGGUGCGAGCGUUGUCCGGAAUCACUGGGCGUAAAGGGCGCGUAGGCGGCCUGGUAAGGCUGUGGUGAAAGCCCGGGGCUCAACCCCGGGUCUGCCGUGGCGACUGCUGGGCUGGAGCACUGUAGAGGCGGGUAGAAUUCCGGGUGUAGCGGUGGAAUGCGUAGAGAUCCGGAAGAAUACCGGUGGCGAAGGCGGCCCGCUGGGCAGGUAGCUGACGCUGAGGCGCGACAGCGUGGGGAGCAAACAGGAUUAGAAACCCUAGUAGUCC
rnacentral:rRNA from 1 species